rnacentral:rRNA from 1 species
UACGUAGGGUGCAAGCGUUAAUCGGAAUUACUGGGCGUAAAGCGUGCGCAGGCGGCCAUGCAAGACAGAUGUGAAAUCCCCGGGCUCAACCUGGGAACUGCAUUCGUGACUGCAUGGCUAGAGUGCGGCAGAGGGGGAUGGAAUUCCGCGUGUAGCAGUGAAAUGCGUAGAUAUGCGGAGGAACACCGAUGGCGAAGGCAAUCCCCUGGGCCUGCACUGACGCUCAUGCACGAAAGCGUGGGGAGCAAACAGG